GACAGAGGUGCCGAGCGUUAGGCGGAAUCACUGGGCUUAAAGCGUGUGUAGGCGGAUGGGUAAGUACCUUGUGAAAUCCCACGGCUCAACCGUGGAACUGCUCGGUAUACUGCUCGUCUAGAGCCAACUAGGGGCGACCGGAACAAACGGUGGAGCGGUGAAAUGCGUAGAUAUCGUUUGGAACGCCGAUGGUGAAAACAGGUCGCUGGAGUUGUGCUGACGCUGAGACACGAAAGCCAGGGGAGCGAACGGG
rnacentral:rRNA from 1 species